rnacentral:rRNA from 1 species
UACAGAGGUCCCAAGCGUUGUCCGGAAUCAUUGGGCGUAAAGAGCGUGUAGGCGGCCUGGUAAGUCCGCUGUGAAAGUCCAGGGCUCAACCCUGGAAUGCCGGUGGAAACUGUCAGGCUCGAGUCCGGAAGAGGCGAGUGGAAUUCCUGGUGUAGCGGUGAAAUGCGCAGAUAUCAGGAGGAACACCAAUGGCGAAGGCAGCUCGCUGGGACGGUACUGACGCUGAGACGCGAAAGCGUGGGGAGCAAACAGG